UAGCCUAGGCGAAUGUUGAAGCUCUGU
rnacentral:piRNA from 1 species